rnacentral:misc_RNA from 1 species
GAAAUGCGAUAAGUAAUGUGAAUUGCAGAAUCCCGUGAACCAUCGAGUCUUUGAACGCAAGUUGCGCCCGAAGCCUUCUGGCCGAGGGCACGUCUGCCUGGGCGUCACGCAUCGCGUCUCCCCCCACCCCACCCCCGUGUGGGAAAAGGGGGAGGAGGAUGGCCUCCCACGCCUCACCGGGCGUGGCUGGCCUAAAAAUCGGAGCCUCAGGUCACGGACUGCUGCGGCGUAAGGUGGUAUACAAGGCAUUGCCUAGGAAGCAUCGCGUUGCGCAGCACGUAGCCAGCGAGGACUCGUAGGACCCUAACUUUGUCUCCUCGCGGAGGCAAAUCCGUUGCGACCCCAGGUCUGGCGGGGCUACCCGCUUAGUUUAA